UGAGGAAUAUUGGGCAAUGCCCGCAAGGGUGACCCAGCAACGCCGCGUGGAGGAUGAAUGUCGUAAGAUUGUAAACUCCUGUUAGAGGGGAAGAAUAGUACCGGUUGGACCGGUAUAUGACUGUACCCUCAGAGAAAGCCCCGGCUAACUACGUGCCAGCAGCCGCGGUAAUACGUAGGGGGCAAGCGUUGUCCGGAUUUACUGGGCGUAAAGGGCGCGCAGGCGGGAUAAAAAGUCAGUGGUGAAAUCCUACAGCUUAACUGUAGAACUGCCUUUGAUACUUUUAUUCUUGAGUUCGGGAGAGAGAGACGGAAUUCCAGGUGUAGUGGUGAAAUACGUAGAUAUCGGGAGGAACACCAGUGGCGAAGGCGGCCUUCUGGACCAGUACUGACGCUCAUGCACGAAAGCGUGGGGAGCAAACA
rnacentral:rRNA from 1 species